GCCUCUCCUGAUUCUUUGCAGUAACUCCAAUGGAAGAUUCUUGUGGAAAGUUAUAUAAAUGAUCUACAGAAGCCAAACAGAAACUUGGAUCACUUAAGUGUAUGUACAUGACUUGGCUGAAAGAACAGACGUGUCCGGUCUUUCGUAGUACAUUCUCAGUUGCUGCAGAGAAUGCUGUGAUUUGUGCUAGAAAAUGGGAUUUAUAUGGAUGGAUGCUUUCUGGUUUAUGUGUAUAUGGCAAUCACAGUAAAUACAAAGAAACAGAAUGGAAUUAAUGAAAGACUGCAUACAAGACGGACGAAGAACUAAAGACAACAAACUGCAAGUACAAAAAAAAACUCAACAAAUAUUGAGAACAUGAGAUGAAGAAUCCUAAAAAACCCUGACCUGGAGUUACACGCUGACUACAGCUCUUUGCGGGAAUAGGACCCACUCUCAGGAUUUCACGACUGGCCAUUAUUCGGCACACCAAGGCAUGGCUAACGAGCUCAACACACCUUCGGAGGGUCGAGAUCUCAUGGCCCUGGAGAUGGGUGGAUCAAAGGAAGUAUUCCUAUGCUGCUUUCAUCUGCAUCUUCUUCAAGUGGGAGAUUACUGGUGGCUGUUUCUUGUCUUGAUAAAAUGUAUAUGAAGCAGUCUUACCCACAUCUCUAGAAGGAACUCCGAGGUGUUCUUCAGUCGGAAUAGUGUUUGAUGGAUUGAUUCAGUGAGCUCAUCUGUUCACAUCAGAUGUAACCUUCCAGAAGC